rnacentral:rRNA from 1 species
UACGAAGGGGGCUAGCGUUGCUCGGAAUCACUGGGCGUAAAGCGCACGUAGGCGGAUUGUUAAGUCGGGGGUGAAAUCCUGGAGCUCAACUCCAGAACUGCCUUUGAUACUGGCGAUCUCGAGUCCGGGAGAGGUGAGUGGAACUGCGAGUGUAGAGGUGAAAUUCGUAGAUAUUCGCAAGAACACCAGUGGCGAAGGCGGCUCACUGGCCCGGUACUGACGCUGAGGUGCGAAAGCGUGGGGAGCAAACAGGG